rnacentral:tRNA from 2 species
GGCCAGGUAGCUCAGUUGGUAGAGCAAGGGACUGAAAAUCCCUGUGUCGGCGGUUCGAUUCCGUCCCUGGCCACCA